UACGAAGGGGGCUAGCGUUGCUCGGAAUCACUGGGCGUAAAGCGCACGUAGGCGGAUUGCUAAGUCAGGGGUGAAAUCCUGGAGCUCAACUCCAGAACUGCCCUUGAUACUGGCGGUCUCGAGUCCGGGAGAGGUGAGUGGAACUGCGAGUGUAGAGGUGAAAUUCGUAGAUAUUCGCAAGAACACCGGUGGCGAAGGCGGGUCUCUGGGCCGAUACUGACGCUGAGGAGCGAAAGCGUGGGGAGCGAACGGG
rnacentral:rRNA from 1 species